UUUUUUUUUUUUUUUUUUUUUUGUCUUUUUGCUAUUUCUUGGGGCGCUCCCGCGGCAUAUGGAGUUUUCCCAGGCCAGGGGUCCAAUCGUAGCUGUAGCCGCCAGCCUAUGCCAGAGCCACAGCAACGCGGGAUCCGAGCUGCAUCUGCAACCUACACCACAGCUCACGGCAACGCCGGAUCGUUAACCCACUGAGCAAGGGCAGGGAUCGAACCCGCAACCUCAUGGUUCCUAGUCAGAUUCGUUAACCACUGCGCCACGACGGGAACUCCCCAUGGACAGCAGAUCCAUCCACCUUCUGCUGCAAGCCCACAGCAGUGCUGGGCAGGCACAGGUCUUUCAAUGUUUGUUGCAGGAGUACUCAUUUUGAUGUUGACCAGCCCUUGUGACAAAUAACAUCUAUCCCAAGGCCUCUGUUUGGUUGGUCAUCAGUAUCAUUUAGUAAGUUUUUAAAAAUUCAGAGUUCUGGGCCCCACCGCUGGCUAUUCCGCCUGGGAUAGGGACUAGCCAGAAACAUCAUUGUUUCUCACUAAAGUCCCCGGGCUGGUUCUGACAAUGAGGCAGAUUUGGGGACCCCAGGGUGGCCCUCAGAAGACCUCAUCUGCCUCUUGACUAUGUUCCCUCCAGCUCGGACCUUGGGGCUCACAGGGUCCGGCUUGCCCCUUCCUGUACCGGGAGCUCUUUCAGCUUAUUACCACUCCCUCACUCCCAGUUCUAGUCCCUGUGAAGUCAUCCUAUGUUCUCUCUUGUCUUCAGGUCACAACCCCUCUGCUCGGUGAUGACCGUGAGCCUCUCCUGUCCCGGGUCCAGGCAUAAACCAGUGCAGGCUUAACCCCUCCCACUAAAACCCACCUCUGCAGGGCAGUCAUUUCUCCCCAAAUGGUGUCUCCUUUCCUGACCAAGAUCAAAGUCACCCUUAUCUAGCUCAUCUCUUCCUGAGACAGGAAAAGAAGAGGCAUAUGCAAGGGGGCACCACCAGCUCAGCCAGGCACCCUCCACCUCAGCACGCCUGGCCCUGGGGCUGGCGUGCCCUGGGCACUGACCGCUGCCCACUCCAUGCCGGCACCUCCUCCACUUGUGACAACUCCAAAUGUCUCCAGACAUGGCUAAACAUCCCCUUGGGGGGCAAAACUUCCCCGAGUUGAGAACCAAGAAGCUAAGCCAUCAAGGAACACUGAACUUGAAGGCAAAGGGCUUGUCUUUGAAUCCCAGCUUCUGGACCUACCCUCCCUGCAUGCACGGCUUUACCUUCAAGAUGAGGUCAAUGACAUCCCCAUGCUGGGUUGUUGUGGGAGUAGAUGGGAAUUAAAUAAACUGGGUUGGGUGAACACACCUAGCACGAGCUGGAGAGACUUUUAGGAUUCAAAGUAAACACCUACAGACAGUAAUGUGCAGGUAAGCCAGGUCUCAAACAAGAAAUGACUAACUAAAUAAAUACAUAGCUCUGAUUUGUAGUUCUUGUUGAUUUCUAUGCUGUGAAUAUGCUCAAAAUGGCUAAUUUCAAGCUACCCACCUGAAGUUCCUGAAUGUGGAAAUAGGGGAAAAUGUGCAGAAUCCUUCUUUCUUACUGGCCAGCCAAGCCAAUAAAGUGUGUGUGACCUGGGCAGGUGUAUGACAAUAAGGAGAGGUGGGCGUACGGCCUCACAGUAAAUACCCUCCCUGCCCAAAGGCAUCCAAAGUCAUUUCAGAGCAACAGCAUUUCUGGACAAACAAAGCCUGUCUGCCAGCAGGACACAGCCCACCCAUUUGUGAUCUCAGCUCUGGCAAUUCCCCCAUCGAAAGGGCCUCCUUGGCCAUCUUCCUCUUUUGCUUCUGCCUUCCAGCCUCUGCUGUCCAAGCCAGCACUGAACACAAUGAACGCCAAACACAAUGAACGCCAAACACAACGCCAACAUGUUUAGUAUUAACGAGAUACUCGUGAAAACGUAGUCCGGAAAGUUAAGGAAGACAGAGCCCUUCACGCCGGGCCAGGCCUUCAACAGGGACAAGUGGUUUUGGGUUCAGACAGUUCUGUGUUCAAGCCUCCUUCUGCCAACGCUCAAGGUUGCUCCUUCAAGUCUUUAUUUUCUCAUCUGCAGAAAUGGGCUAUCAACGCCUCCCCCUAAGAUCUGGGAUGACAUCAGCCAGAGGGAAAGUCUACAAGAUGCCAGGCCAGCUCCUUACUUCCUCUUCAGGCAGGUCCCAGUAGGACCAUCCACCCAUUCCCUGAAAGGACCCAGGAGUCCCUGAAUGGGGCUGCCGGGCCUGCGAGGAGCCAGCGGGCUGGUAAUCAAUUCUUAUUAGGUUCUACUUGAUCCACUAAACGAAGACUGGCUCCAGGAAGCAAAAACUCUCUUCAGUUGAAAAUAAGGAAAAGGAAGUUGUCAGCAUCCUCGUCAUUUCAGAGAAACCAGAUGGGGGGAUCUGGGGCUUGGCAAAGGUAACAGAGAAGGAGGGGUGGCCCGUUCAAGUGGAGCUGGCCCCCAGAGGCUCCCUGAUGGAUCCUGUAAGUAGAGCAAGCAAGAAGUUUAAGGAGCCUCAGGAUGAAAGGGAACGAUGAGAGCAGACAGAAGACGGCCCCAGGGUACCUGGCAGGUGACUGAGCUGGUGAGAGGGACCCCAGCAAAAUCAAAGGCCAGGAUCAAGGGCCCAGAAGGCGAGCAUUCCCUUUCAGUCCUGCAGGCCUGCCAACGCAGACAGACCUGCCAAGCCCAGCCUGGGCUCCUCACUUAAAGAGAAAGGCGAGCCCUUAGCUCCCCUGUUCCAAAAAAAAACAAAAUACAGAAACUCGCUCUGACUGUUUAUCAUGUUUGCUGCUCUUUUUCCAUCUCAUUAACUCUGGCUUCAAGAUUUGCUCCCAUUCAGUUCUGAGUCAGUUUCACCCCAAAGUCACAGUCGCUUUUUACUUUCACUUCCCCCACAUGUUGAGCCUGUUUAUUCCUUAUUUAUUUUGCUCAUCUCAGCCCCUUUACUUCUGGGAGUGAGUCCAGC
rnacentral:lncRNA from 1 species